GUCAGAGGUGCUUCAGAAAAGCCUGCUGGUGACUAGAAAUAUCUUCACUUUGUGUUAGCAUGCAGGUAGCAUGCCCACAGCCACCUGAAUUCUGACUGUAUUACAUCAUGAGGCAUGAGAUGUGCUCCAACAUGUGCUGGCAGGAGCAGUUGGAGAAGACUGGCUACAGAAGCUCAUCAAGAAAUGCAAAAGGCAUGACCUGCUAUCUAAGGAGCAGCCUCUAACAGUGCCCAUCUCCCAGGAUGCAAGAUUUGCCAAGGCACAGGUGAUGGAGUGUCCCGGCAGAGAGCAGGAGCCCUCAGCUGGAGAUCUGGGGUCAGAUGCAGCUUCUCUGAGUUACUUCUCUGACCAUUAUCCAAGACUCACAGAAGAUGUGCUGGAUGAGCUGAUGAGCCUUUUGUACUGCAGAUCUCCUCAAAACGCUGCAGGGUCAACAGCACGGUGCCAAACUAGAAUCAAUGAGGCCUUACGCAGACACUCAAGAAUAACAAGUCAACCAGUGGAUUUGCAGGCAGACUGUAACAGCUUGUUAUCUGAUGUCCCCUGGGCACAAACACUGAGACAUCUGCAGUUUUUGACCUUUUUUUUGUCUCUGCUGGCUCAAUAGCUAGUUAGCUGGUCAUUCAAUGUGAAAACAAAACAGAGGAAAGGAGAGCAAAUUGCAAUAGGCAGGAGAUGCUGGACAGUUAGGAUGCCAAAA